UUUAAUAAAAAAAUAAAAAAAUAAAAAGAAAAAAACGAAGGUCUUGAGCAACAUCGACUUAUCUUUUGGCUGACAAAACAAAAGUCUAUUAUGAGCAACAUCGGUUUCAAACCAGUUUCAAAAAUCUGUCAAAAUUAUUAGGACAGAUAAUGGAUGGUACGGAAUUUAUUAAACACACUAUGUACUGAUUUUUUUCUACAAUAGAACACCAAAUAAGACAUAAUUAAAUUGAGUACUAUUAACGUCAAAAGAACAAUCCUCAAAUCAAAAUAAGAACAUAAGAGAAAUACUAUAAUUAAACUCUGUUCGACAAAACUAGCUGUUCUAGUAAUAGUUAAUCAUUUUAGUAGUUGUCAACUGUUUUACUAGCUAUUAGCUAUUAGUGAUUAGUUGUUUGUAUAGAGAUUUAAAAUAGAAGUGUUCAAUAAAUAAUAGAGGUAGUAUUUUGAUUUUAGUCAAAAUACUAAUACUACCUUAGAAGUUAUAGCUGAAUAGGGCCUUAAUGAUAAAUCAUCCAUAAGAAAACAUAUAAUAUUUCCAUCCAAAAUAUAAAAUAACACCAAUGUAUUUAUAUAAUUAAGGAUUAUAAGAUAGUGUCAAUUGGCUAUGAAUAUAAUGUUAAUUGUUUUCAAAUUUCCAAUAUAAUACCAAUGGUCCAUAACUAUAAUUAUAAUUAUAAUUUAUAUGCACAUUAUAAUUUUAAUUGCAUAUAAAUAUAAACAUAUAUAAUUAAAUAUAUUGAAUUAUAUAAAAAAAUAUUGAAAACAUAUGUAUAAGAUUAAUUUUAAUUUUGGUUUGCUUCAAUUCAAUUUGAUUCAGUUUAAUUUUUUAUUCAUAUUUUAAUAAAGAACUAAAACUGAAGUAAAAGAGUAAAAUGAAUUUAAUUCAAUUCGAUUCAAUUCCUAUAAUUUCGAUUUGUAUUUGAGUCUCAAAUUUGGUUCAAAGGAACUAAGACCUGUGCAUAGCCAUAUAAGAUUUCAUACCAUUCUCAAUUAGAUCAGUGAUAAAUUAUAAUCCUAAACCUAUCAGUUUAAUCUCUCCACUAUCACCAUUAAUCUCAUAAAACAUCUAAUUUAAAUUAUAUUCAUAAACUUUUUGAAACAUGUCAUUUUUUUUUCCCAACUAGAAAUGGACACACACAGGUUAGAGACGGAAAUGGACCACAUCUCAAAAUCAUGGCAAUUUUGAGGGUAUCAUUGUUCCCAUAUAACUCAACGCACACACUCAUCCACUUUCAAUAUGAGAUCCCGAAGGAUCGCUCCAAGUCAAACUAGUAAAAUUGUAUUCAAAUAUAAACAAUAUCAUAAUACAUUCAUGACCUUCAAACGAAGAUACAAAUUUAACUAACAAGAGGCCGAGGUUUUUCUUUGUUAAUGAUCGAGUUCUUUUAAAAUUGAAUUUUUGUUUUCUAUUGGGUCAAAUCAAUUCAGUAUUGAAUUUCUGGAUUAGAAUUAAUUAGCUGACAGAUUUAAUUCUUAAAACACUACUGCAUCAUAUCAAAAAUUCUCAAGUAGAUCCACUGGAAACAAUUGCAUAAGAAUUUCUGUAAUUUGUUCUUAAAUUAAUCAAUUCCUCAAACUUUAUUUUUAACCCAUCGAGUUCUACAACUUUUUUGUUUUUUUUUUUUUUUU
rnacentral:misc_RNA from 1 species